GAUGAACGCUGGCGGCGUGCCUAAUACAUGCAAGUCGAGCGAACAGACGAGGAGCUUGCUCCUCUGACGUUAGCGGCGGACGGGUGAGUAACACGUGGAUAACCUACCUAUAAGACUGGGAUAACUUCGGGAGACCGGAGCUAAUACCGGAUAAUAUAUUGAACCGCAUGGUUCAAUAGUGAAAGACGGUUUUGCUGUCACUUAUAGAUGGAUCCGCGCCGCAUUAGCUAGUUGGUAAGGUAACGGCUUACCAAGGCAACGAUGCGUAGCCGACCUGAGAGGGUGAUCGGCCACACUGGAACUGAGACACGGUCCAGACUCCUACGGGAGGCAGCAGUAGGGAAUCUUCCGCAAUGGGCGAAAGCCUGACGGAGCAACGCCGCGUGAGUGAUGAAGGUCUUCGGAUCGUAAAACUCUGUUAUUAGGGAAGAACAAAUGUGUAAGUAACGAUGCACGUCUUGACGGUACCUAAGCAGAAAGCCACGGCUAACUACGG
rnacentral:rRNA from 1 species